rnacentral:rRNA from 1 species
AGGACGAACGCUGGCGGCGUGCUUAACACAUGCAAGUCGAACGAGGCGCUUGCGCCUAGUGGCGAACGGGUGAGUAACACGUGAGCAACCUGCCCUUGGCUCUGGGAUAGCCUCCGGAAACGGGGAUUAAUACCGGACAUGACCUUCUCCUGCAUGGGGGAGGGUGGAAAGUUUUUCGGCCAGGGAGGGGCUCGCGGCCUAUCAGCUUGUUGGGGGGGUAACGGCCCACCAAGGCGACGACGGGUAGCCGGCCUGAGAGGGCGACCGGCCACACUGGGACUGAGACACGGCCCAGACUCCUACGGGAGGCAGCAGUGGGGAAUAUUGCACAAUGGGGGAAACCCUGAUGCAGCGACGCCGCGUGCGGGAUGAAGGCCUUCGGGUUGUAAACCGCUUUCAGCAGGGGCGAAUUCAGACGGUACCUGCAGAAGAAGCGCCGGCUAACUACGCGCCAGCAGCCGC